ACAAGGAAUCUGGGUAAUUAUUAGGUGUAUAUUUCCGGUGAAAACAAUCCACGUGAAGACAGUGUCAGAGAAAAGGGUGAUUGAUCAUCUGGAUUCUGCUCCCUUGUGUUUUCCUGUGCACUUUCUCUGCACUGUAGUCUUAACUGUCAGGCAGUUACUGUAAUGAAGUCUGGUAGUGGGCUUUUCAGCCUGAGGAGCUGUGUUACUCUCAGGAGGGGCUCAACAGGGCAUUGUACCCGUGGAGGCUGAAGCUGCACAGCAAGAGGAGCACAGCCCCUUCGGGCAUUCAGCUUUCAGAAAGAGCAGGGUGUGGUAUUUAGAAAGGCUCCAAAAUUGGCAGCAAGAGAAAGGCAAAUACUCUUCUGAACUGGAGACCGCCCUAACACAGGCAGCUGCAGCCCAGCCUCAACUCGUGCUCCUGCCAGUUCUCUCAAGCAUGACCUGGUUUGAGGACCACCUUCAAUGAGAUCAAAAGGGCAUAAUGCUGCUAUCAUGUCUCACAGACCUUAAGUCCACUAUGCAUCAUGGCAGAUGUCAUCCUCCAGGAAACAGCCUGCAGGAAAGGGGAGCCAUCUAAACCACAACCCCAGUGAGGCAGUGUCCUU